UACGUAGGGUGCGAGCGUUAAUCGGAAUUACUGGGCGUAAAGCGCGCGCAGGCGGCAGGUUAAGUAAGGUGUGAAAUCUCCCUGCUCAACGGGGAGGGUGCACUUUAGACUGACCAGCUAGAGGGCGGUAGAGGGUGGUGGAAUUGCUGGUGUAGCGGUGAAAUGCGUAGAGAUCAGCAGGAACACCCGUGGCGAAGGCGGCCACCUGGGCCGUACCUGACGCUGAGGCGCGAAGGCUAGGGGAGCGAACGGG
rnacentral:rRNA from 1 species